rnacentral:rRNA from 1 species
GUAGGUGGCAAGCGUUGUCCGGAAUUAUUGGGCGUAAAGCGCGCGCAGGCGGUUCUUAAAGUCUGAUGUGAAAGCCCACGGCUCAACCGUGGAGGGUCAUUGGAAACUGGAGAACUUGAGUACAGAAGAGGAAAGCGGAAUUCCACGUGUAGCGGUGAAAUGCGUAGAGAUGUGGAGGAACACCAGUGGCGAAGGCGGCUUUCUGGUCUGUAACUGACGCUGAGGCGCGAAAGCGUGGGGAGCAAACAGGAUUAGAUACCCUGGUAGUCCACGCCGUAAACGAUGAGUGCUAAGUGUUAGGGGGUUUCCGCCCCCCUUAGUGCUGCAGCUAACGCAUUAAGCACUCCGCCUGGGAGUACGGCCGCAAGGCUG